rnacentral:rRNA from 1 species
UACGUAGGCAGCGAGCGUUGCUCGGAGUUACUGGGCGUAAAGGGCGCGUAGGCGGGGAGGUAAGUCGGGUGUGAAAUCCCUCGGCCCAACCGAGGAACUGCGCCCGAGACUGCUUCUCUUGAGUCCCGGAGAGGAAGAUGGAAUUCCCGGUGUAGCGGUGAAAUGUGUAGAGAUCGGGAGGAACACCGGUGGCGAAGGCGGUCUUCUGGACGGUGACUGACGCUGAGGCGCGAAAGCGUGGGGAGCAAACGGG